GUUCCCGUCUGGCCCAGCGUCUGGUGCCGAAAAUAGAUGUUGAGCAGCGUCUGGACCUCGGUCUCUGAGCUGCCACCGAACACUCCACUGGGCCACUGCCUCCUGAAAAUGAGAUGAAAAGCGCACAGCUUUGGUGAACUCGAGGUUCUUAAGGCACUCCAGUAUGGCCUGAACGGCUGCCUCUGAGCUGGGGAAGCUGGGCACGACCACGGCUGCCGCCUGGGUGGCGUGAGCGUGAGCGUGGGCCAAGAGCUUCUGCUCCAGGUCGCUGGCCACUGCCGCCUCGGCCGCCUGCAGGCUGGUCUUCAGAUCGGCACAGAGCUGAUGGCAUGAACCUGACCAAUGAGCGAGCAGUAUGACUGGAAGAGGAGGAGCAGCUGGAAGUGCAGCUUGUAGAGCCUCUGACAAAGCUCCAGUUGCUAAAAGACAUUAAGGAAGGAACAGAUAAAUAAAAUACAUUCUCCGUUCGCACCUUCUCCUCCGAGUCUCCGGGCUGGCAUGAAACUACGCUCUCACCAGGACACCGUGGAAAUGUGUCCCUACAGUUCCUCAGCCACUGAGGGGGAAACAUGAUACACAACAGGAGUGGGAGGAAGAGGGAGGAGAUAAAGGAAGGUGUCCAGGUAUUCCUGCAGCUCCAGUGCACUGAACUUCAUCUUUUCAAGGAGACCAUAGGACAUGAUCUGCAGAGAGAAAAAUAAGGGUUCCAUACAUUUGACUUAACUAACUCAACAUAAAUCCUGUUUCCCAUUUUUUGCAGUCCUUUGCACAGUUAUGUCUGCCAGCAGUGCUCACCGUAUCAGCAUCGAUGUAGAUUGUGGGACAAUCGGAGCAAGUGGUUAGCAUCUGUGAGGACCUUUGGAACUUUGAUCCAAUGCCCCUCAAGCCCUCUCCCAGGUAAGUAGCAACAUCAGUCGUCAGGGUGCAGAACUUCCCCUGGAUGUUCUGGGUGAGGAGGAAAGGUCGAGCAAUUAUUAUACAUUCUAACACAAGAGAACCAAAGAGUUAAACAAAAACACUGCAAUACAAAUAUAUCUACCUAAAGUGAAGAGUUGUCUAUUCAACAAGUAGGAUUUACCUUAAAGAGAGAGGAGAAGACUUGGAACGUGUACACGGCGCAGGACCCAUCUGAGUCUGUCACGAGCUGGUUGAUAUGACAGCGCCACGCGUCCUCUGCAUCGUCACACACUGUCGGUUGGAAGGCUGCCAAGAUGGCGGAGAAAAAUGGAGAGGGGGGAGGAGGAAAACCAAGGUCUUCCAAGUCAUCUACAUCAUCACCUCCACAUCCAGGAAGUCAAAGUCUCUGAAAACCCUGAACUGCUGCUCACUGGCGGUGUCAUCGAGUGUGUCCUCUCUAGUCCCGCCCUCCUCCGAUGACACGCCACUCUCUCGCACCUCCAUCAUGUCCAAGUCGCCACACGAUGAGAAGAUCACCUGACGAGAAGGAUCAAAAGAUUCCUGUAAUAAAUCACAGCACAUGGAGGAUAUUGUAAAGAAGAAACGAGGACGUAGCUUACAGAUGGGUUCUUUGUGAGUCCAACUUCUUGUCCACAAAGAGACAAAACGUUCACCAGCUUCUCUCUGGUUCUUUUCUGUAGGUAGAAGAAAGACAGUGAGCGAUUAAAGUAUUAAUCAAAGAAGGAAUAAACAUAAACUCUAAACUACUCAAGAUAGUCCCUCUGAAGUUUCUUGGCUUGUUUUCAUCUGCUUCAGCUGUAUAAAUAACCAAUAAAUAAUUUGUGCCCAGCU